rnacentral:lncRNA from 1 species
AUAUUGUUAUGUGUGACUUUAAUACUGCCAUUUUGAUGCUAGCUGGCUGUUUUGCCCAUUAGUUGAUGCAGAUUCUUGUUUUUGUUGAUGCUCUUAAGUAUUUGGUAUGUUUUUAGAAUGGCUGGUACUGGUUGUUCCUUUCUAUGUGUAGUGCCUCUUUCAGGAGCUCUUGUAAAGCAGGCCUAGUGGUGACAAAAUCUCUGAGUACUUGCUUGUUUGCAAAGGAUUUUAUUUUUCCUUCACUUAUGAAGCUCAGUUUGGCUGGAUAUGAAAUUCUGGGUUGAAAGUUCUUUUCUUUAAGGAUGUUGAAUAUUGGCCCCCACUGAUGAGUUCAUGUCCUUUGUAGGGACAUGGACGAAUCUGGAGAACAUCAUCCUCAGCAAACUGACACAAGAACAGAAAAUGAAAUACCACAUAUUCUCACUCAUAGGCAGAUUCAAAGAGAUUCCUAAAAUCUCUUCUAUAUCUAAAAAGGAAGAAGGAGAAAAAUGGAAGGAAGAAGAAGGUUCUGGAGUACAUCUGCAGGAUGUGCAGGAGGAAUCUGUUUCAUAAAGCAGAGUUUGAGUUUGCCUUGAACUGAAGUCUGGAUGGAUUUGUCUUAAUCAAACUCUUUGUGCUGCGUGUGGUUAUUUCCUCUAGGAUAGAGGAACUUGCUUGCCUCUCAGGCCAGGUUUCCAGUUCCCUGAGUGUUUGUGCUUUGCAGGUAUUUAAGAGAGAAAGUGGAAGAGGCUAGAUGCCACUACAAGCUGAAAAGGAUUGUAUAAUCUUGGUAACCAACUUUUCUGAGAUUCUACAUUAUUUUAUGAAAUUGAUGUCCCAUAGUUGACUUAAUAAUUUCCCUAUUAUUGGCUGUUUAAUUUGUUUACACAUUUUUAUUGUCAUAAUAAAUAAUUCCAUAAUGAACACUUUGGGGCAUACACAUUUUAGAGGCUCAAAGCAGAGAUAGGUGGUCUGACACAGCCUGGGUAUGGCAGGGAUUUCUUCUUGUCCUGCAAUUUAUCUUUCUUCCACAGAAGUUCAGCCCCCUAACACAGUCUGGAAUAGAUAUUGAAUCUUCCAGUCUUUCUUUCUAGCAACUUCCUUUCCAUGUGACUAAGUUCUGAUCAAUGGCAUGCAAGUAAAAAUAAAAUGUGCAAACUGUGGGAACAUUAUUUGAAAGAAGGGGCUGUUUGCUUCAUCUCUUCCCCUUUUUCCAGUCUUCUACCUGGGAUAUGAAUGUGAUCUCUGGAUCCCCAAUUCCACUUUAUAUCAUGAGGUUGAGGCACGGCAAACUGGUUAGAUGGGAGGAGCUGGGGUCUCUCAUGUCUCAUGGGGCUGGCUUGUCAUGACAGGGCUGAGAUGCUUACAUGGGAACAAAUACAUUUCUAUCUUGUGUAGUACUUUUCUUUGCAUGUUUGUAGUUUGCAGCUGUACACAGUCC